rnacentral:sRNA from 1 species
CAGUGACUGUGGCUGACUAUAUCUCACGAGCAGAGUCUCAGAGCCGCCAGCGGCCACCCCUGGAACGCACUAAACCCUCAGAGGACUCUCUUUCAGGACAGAAGAGGCAGCUGUGUCUGAUGGAGUUUAGACCAGUGUGAACUUUGAAUAGGAUAGAGAGGAAAGUGUGGUUCACAUUUUCCGGAUCCCAAGGUGACUCUGUCAGCAAGCUUCCUAAGGGCCCCUCAGAGAAUGGGGAGCUCUCCGCCCCCUUGGAGUUGGGUAGUAUGGUGAAUGGGGUUUCAUAAAACCUCCAGCCUGCACCCCUCCCUUCUCCAUCUCGCUUGCUGCCCAACACCAUGGCCCUCACAGGCCCAACUGACCUGCGCUGGAGCUGCUCUUAUCUAGGGGGGAGGGGGGUGGCACAGCAGCUUGGGUACCCCCCCAACCUCCAGGAGCUAGUGGAGGGGUGUGUAACAGGGUCAUACCCCCUCCCUCUUGUCCACCCUACCCCCAGGGUAAGGGGAGCCUCUCUCCUUCCCCAUCAGACUGGAUGUGCCUUUAUCCUCUAAUACCCCAAUCUCUCUCUGAACACCCCCAUUCUCCACCUGUUGGUGGGGGGUGCUCCUUGACCCACCCAGAUUUGACCGUUCAGGGGGCCUCCCCUGCUAUCCCUCCUCCCAUCCUGUACCCCCCA